rnacentral:misc_RNA from 1 species
GAAAUGCGAUAAGUAAUGUGAAUUGCAGAAUUCAGUGAAUCAUCGAAUCUUUGAACGCACAUUGCGCCCGCCAGUAUUCUGGCGGGCAUGCCUGUCCGAGCGUCAUUUCAACCAUCAGGCCCCCGGGCUUGUGUUGGGGACCUGCGGCUGCCCGCAGGCCCUGAAAACCAGUGGCGGGCUCGCUGUCACACCGAGCGUAGUAGCAAUCACCUCGCUCAGGGCGUGCUGCGGGUUCCGGCCGUUAAACAGCCUUACAAAACCCAAGGUUGACCUCGGAUCAGGUAGGAAGACCCGCUGAACUUAAGC